UUCCACUGUACUGAACAUGGA
rnacentral:piRNA from 1 species